rnacentral:rRNA from 1 species
GCGGCCGCUCUGUUUGUUCCCGCCGGAGGUUACUGCUAUCGAGGUUCGACUAAGCCAUGCGAGUCGAAUGUAGCAAUACAUGGCGUACUGCUCAGUAACACGUGGACAACCUACCCUUAGGUCAGGGAUAAACCCGGGAAACCGGGUAUAAUACCCGAUAGUCCUCGAAUGCUGGAAUGCAUCGAGGUCGAAAGCUCCGGUGCCCAAGGAUGGGUCUGCGGCCUAUCAGGAUAGUAGUGGGUGUAGCGUACCUACUAGCCUACGACGGGUACGGGUUGUGAGAGCAAGAGCCCGGAGAUGGAUUCUGAGACACGAAUCCAGGCCCUACGGGGUGCAGCAGGCGCGAAAACUUUACAAUGCUGGAAACAGCGAUAAGGGAACCUCGAGUGCCAGGUUACAAAUCUGGCUGUCGUGAUGCCUAAAAUAGCAUUGCAUAGCAAGGGCCGGGCAAGACCGGUGCCAGCCGCCGCGGUAACACCGGCGGCUCGAGUGGUAACCGUUAUUAUUGGGUCUAAAGGGUCUGUAGCCGGCCGGAUAAGUCUCUUGGGAAAUCUGGCAGCUUAACUGUCAGGCUUUCAGGAGAUACUGUCUGGCUCGAGGCCGGGAGAGGUGAGAGGUACUUCAGGGGUAGGGGUGAAAUCUUGUAAUCCUUGAAGGACCACCAGUGGCGAAGGCGUCUCACCAGAACGGACCUGACGGCAAGGGACGAAAGCUAGGGGCACGAACCGGAUUAGAUACCCGGGUAGUCCUAGCCGUAAACGAUACUCGCUAGGUGUCGGCCACGGUGCGACCGUGGUCGGUGCCGUAGGGAAGCCGUGAAGCGAGCCACCUGGGAAGUACGGCCGCAAGGCUGAAACUUAAAGGAAUUGGCGGGGGAGCACCACAACGGGUGGAGCUUGCGGUUUAAUUGGAUUCAACGCCGGAAAUCUUACCGGGACCGACAGCGAUAUGAAGGCCAAGCUGAAGACUUUGCCGGAUUAGCUGAGAGGUGGUGCAUGGCCGUCGUCAGUUCGUACUGUGAAGCAUCCUGUUAAGUCAGGCAACGAGCGAGACCC